rnacentral:misc_RNA from 1 species
AGGAAAUGAACCGAUACAAUUUUAUUCAAUUUUCCAGAGCUUUGUUGUUUUCAAGGGAGGCCUAAGUAAGGGAUACAAGAAUUAUGUUGCGGAGAAGGAAAUUCAAGAUGAAACUUACCAAGAGGAUGGGGUUGCAUUAUUUAGAGUCCAGGGCUCGGGACCCGAAAAUAUGCAAGCAAUACAAGUAGACCCGGUUGCAUCGUCUUUGAAUUCCUCCUACUGCUACAUAUUGAAUAGUAGCUCCAAUGUCUUUACAUGGUCUGGAAGCCUUACAAACUCAGAUAAUCAAGAACUUGUUGAGCGGUUGUUGGAUUUGAUAAAGCCCAACGUACAAUCUAGAUCACAAAAAGAAGGUACAGAAUCUGAACAAUUUUGGAAUUUGCUGGGAGGCAAAUCUGAAUACCCUAGCCAAAAAAUCAGUCGAGAUGCUGAGAGUGAUCCUCACCUAUUUUCUUGUACCUUCUCAAGAGGAAAUUUGAAGGUGGUGGAAGUACAUAACUUUGAUCAAGA